UACGAAGGGGGGCUAGCGUUGUUCGGAUUUACUGGGCGUAAAGCGCACGUAGGCGGUUUGUUAAGUGAGAGGUGAAAUCCCAGAGCUCAACUCUGGAACUGCCUUUCAUACUGGCAAGCUAGAGUCCGGAAGAGGUAAGUGGAACUCCUAGUGUAGAGGUGGAAUUCGUAGAUAUUAGGAAGAACACCAGUGGCGAAGGCGGCUUACUGGUCCGGAACUGACGGCUGAGGUGCGAAAGCGUGGGGAGCAAACAGG
rnacentral:rRNA from 1 species